CAGUAUCUUCUGGUUAUGGUCCAAAGAGCUGUGCCAACAUCCAUAUCUGUCCUGAUUACAGGUCCUCCAGUAUCUUCUGGUUAUGGUCCAAAGAGCUGUGCCAACAUCCAUAUCUGUCCUGAUUACAGGUCCUCCAGUAUCUUCUGGUUAUGGUCCAAAGAGCUGUGCCAACAUCCAUAUCUGUCCUGAUUACAGGUCCUCCAGUAUCUUCUGGUUAUGGUCCAAAGAGCUGUGCCAACAUCCAUAUCUGUCCUGAUUACAGGUGCUCCAGUAUCUUCUGGUUAUGGUCCAAAGAGCUGUGCCAACAUCCAUAUCUGUCCUGAUUACAGGUCCUCCAGUAUCUUCUGGUUAUGGUCCAAAGAGCUGUGCCAACAUCCAUAUCUGUCCUGAUUACAGGUCCUCCAGUAUCUUCUGGUUAUGGUCCAAAGAGCUGUGCCAACAUCCAUAUCUGUCCUGAUUACAGGUCCUACAGC